rnacentral:rRNA from 1 species
UAAUACAUGCAAGUCGUACGCACUGGCCCAACUGAUUAGAUGGUGCUUGCACCUGAUUGACGAUGGAUCACCAGUGAGUGGCGGACGGGUGAGUAACACGUAGGUAACCUGCCCCGGAGCGGGGGAUAACAUUUGGAAACAGAUGCUAAUACCGCAUAACAACAAAAGCCACAUGGCUUUUGUUUGAAAGAUGGCUUUGGCUAUCACUCUGGGAUGGACCUGCGGUGCAUUAGCUAGUUGGUAAGGUAACGGCUUACCAAGGCGAUGAUGCAUAGCCGAGUUGAGAGACUGAUCGGCCACAAUGGAACUGAGACACGGUCCAUACUCCUACGGGAGGCAGCAGUAGGGAAUCUUCCACAAUGGGCGCAAGCCUGAUGGAGCAACACCGCGUGAGUGAAGAAGGGUUUCGGCUCGUAAAGCUCUGUUGUUGGAGAAGAACGUGCGUGAGAGUAACUGUUCACGCAGUGACGGUAUCCAACCAGAAAGUCACGGCUAACUACGUGCCAGCAGCCGCGGUAAUACGUAGGUGGCAAGCGUUAUCCGGAUUUAUUGGGCGUAAAGCGAGCGCAGGCGGUUGCUUAGGUCUGAUGUGAAAGCCUUCGGCUUAACCG